GACGAACGCUGGCGGCGUGCUUAACACAUGCAAGUCGAACGGAAAGGCCCUGCUUUUGUGGGGUGCUCGAGUGGCGAACGGGUGAGUAACACGUGAGUAACCUGCCCUUGACUUUGGGAUAACUUCAGGAAACUGGGGCUAAUACCGGAUAGGAGCUCCUGCUGCAUGGUGGGGGUUGGAAAGUUUCGGCGGUUGGGGCUGGACUCGCGGCUUAUCAGCUUGUUGGUGGGGUAGUGGCUUACCCAGGCAUUGACGGGUAGCCGGCCUGAGAGGGUGACCGGCCACCUUGGGACUGAGAUACGGCCCAGUCUCCUACGGGGGGCAGCAGUGGGGAAUAUUGCACAAUGGGCGGACGCCUGAUGCAGCAGCGCCGCGUGCGGGAUGACGUCCUUCGGGUUGUAAACCGCUUUCGCCUGUGACGAAGCGUGAGUGACGGUAAUGGGUAAAGAAGCACCGGCUAACUACGUG
rnacentral:rRNA from 1 species